GACGACGCUGGCGGCGUGCUUAACACAUGCAAGUCGAACGGUAAGGCCCUUCGGGGUACACGAGUGGCGAACGGGUGAGUAACACGUGGGUGAUCUGCCCUGCACUUCGGGAUAAGCUUGGGAAACUGGGUCUAAUACCGGAUAGGACCACGGUCUGCAUGGAUUGUGGUGGAAAGCUUUUGCGGUGUGGGAUGGGCCCGCGGCCUAUCAGCUUGUUGGUGGGGUGAUGGCCUACCAAGGCGACGACGGGUAGCCGGCCUGAGAGGGUGUCCGGCCACACUGGGACUGAGAUACGGCCCAGACUCCUACGGGAGGCAGCAGUGGGGAAUAUUGCACAAUGGGCGCAAGCCUGAUGCAGCGACGCCGCGUGGGGGAUGACGGCCUUCGGGUUGUAAACCUCUUUCAGCAGGGACGAAGGGUGACUGACGGUACCUGUAGAAGAAGCACCGGCCAACUACGUG
rnacentral:rRNA from 1 species